UAGUUUGAGGAGGCGGUGACCGUGGCGAUGGAGGAGGAGGAUUAGGUAGCCAACACUGUUUUUAUAUAUACAUAUAUAUAUUUUUUUUUAAUUUGGGUAGCCCCAAAAAUAUUGGGACAUAUAAAAAAAAGACAAUUCUGUUCCGCAGAGUAGCUGUUGCGCAGGAACUUUGUUGACUCUAGAGAACCUCUGGCAAAUUGCACAUCCCCGUGGCGGCGACUUUGCAUGCAGAUGUCAUCCAUAUCAACUUUCGAUGCCAGUUUCUGCUCCUACCUUGUUGACCAUGGGUAACGGGGAAUCAGUGUUCCAUUCCAUACAGGGACCUUGAAAAAUGGCUAACACAUGCAAGGAAGGCAGCAGGCGCGCAAAUGACCCACUCCCGACGCGGGAAGGUAGUGAUGACAAAUAACAAUAUAAGACUCUUUAGAGGCCCUGUAAUUGUAAUGAGUCCACUUGAAAUCCUUUAACUCUGAUCAAUUGAAGGGAAGUCUGGUGCAGAGCCACUCACCCGUGCGUGCUGCAGCUUAAA
rnacentral:rRNA from 1 species